rnacentral:rRNA from 1 species
AUUGAACGCUGGCGGCAUGCUUUACACAUGCAAGUCGAACGGCAACGAGGAGAAGCUUGCUUCUCUGUCGGCGAGUGGCGAACGGGUGAGUAUAGCAUCGGAACGUGCCAAGUAGUGGGGGAUAACCAAACGAAAGUUUGGCUAAUACCGCGUAAGCUCCAAGGAGGAAAGUAGGGGACCUAAAUAAGGCCUUACGCUAUUUGAUCGGCCGAUGUCGGAUUAGCUAGUUGGUGGGGUAAUGGCUCACCAAGGCAAUGAUCCGUAGCGGGUCUGAGAGGACGAUCCGCCACACUGGGACUGAGACACGGCCCAGACUCCUACGGGAGGCAGCAGUGGGGAAUUUUGGACAGUGGGGGAAACCCUGAUCCAGCCAUGCCGCGUGUAUGAAGAAGGCCUUAGGGUUGUAAAGUACUUUUGUUAGGGAAGAAAAGCUAGUUUUUAAUAAAAAUUAGUGAUGACGGUACCUAAAGAAUAAGCACCGGCUAACUACGU